GACUGACAGUGACGUGUAUGACAAAAAAUUUGGUACAUGCUGCCUGUUUGUUGACCUCUAUUUUGAAAAUGAAAAGUAUCUUGUUUUAGUACAUACCCAAUUAAUUUAAUAGUUAUCACAAUGAGUGCUACACCUUGCAUCGCUGGUUUGACCAAUAAAAACAUAUUCUUGGUGGAUUUCAAAGAACCAUACGCAGAGAAAAAUCUCAGAGAUGAGGCCACUCUCAAUAUACGAAGCAUUAUAUUUAGCCCUAAAGGCACAUACCUUGCAUACAGAACUGAUAAAAAGGCAGAAAUAGUGAAAUGUGCAGACUGGUCAGUGGCAGCUACCAUAGAUGGCAACGUAAAAGAUAUGUUCUUCUCCCCUCUGGACACCUAUUUCAUGGUGUGGGAAAUGUUUUUGCUGACUAAAGAAAACCCUGAGGGCAAAUGCAACCUUCAUGUUGUAAAAUCAGCAACUGGAGAAAACAUCGGAUCAUUUAAACAAAAGAAUCAGACCGGCUGGGAACCACAAUGGUCAUCGGAUGAGAAACUCUUUGCCCUUCAAAUGAACAAUAUUAUAUACAUCUAUGAGGAUGGAAAACUGGAGCGCUACACAAAACAGAUCAAAGCAGAAAAGCUGAAGUCUUUCAGCAUCUCUCCUAGCCCUGCACCCACUUACUAUUUUGCUGUGUUCUCUUUGGGCAAACAGGACCAGCCGUCGUUCUGGCGCGUGUUCAAGUAUCCAGAGUUUGAUACCAGCAAUGCAGUUGUGAGCCGCUCCUCGUUCCAAGCUGACAAGGCCACCUUCCACUGGAAUAGACGAGGCACCAACAUCUUUGUUAUGACCCAGACUGAUGUGGACAAGACUGGCGGAUCUUACUAUGGAAAGCAGUCGUUGUCACAUGGCGAUGUAAAAGGAAACUCGGGAAAUAUGAGUUUUAGUAAGGAAGGUCCAAUCCACGCGAUCUCGUGGAACCCCGGCAACUGGAACGAAUGGGUGGCGGUGUACGGCCACGCGCCGGCCAAGGCGACGCUGUUCAACGCGAAAUGCGACCCGCUGUUUGAAUUUGGAACAGGAUCGUGGAACGCCAUCUACUUCCCACCAGACGGGCAUUGCGUUCUACUAGGCGGGUUCGGUAACAUAGCCACAGGCAGCAUAGAAGUAUGGGACAUGCGUGGCUACAAGAAGAUCGGGUCUUGCGCAGCGCCCGACACCACGAGUCUGCAGUGGGACCCUCGAGGAGAGACCUUUAUCACCGCCACUACUUAUCCCAGGCUCACUGUUGGAAAUGGGUACAAAAUAUGGCAUUACACCGGAGCUCUCAUGCACAAGCGUGUAUGCCAAGAGAAAGAAAACCUACUGAGUAUCACUUGGCAACCAGGAAACUUCCCUAAGAGCGAACUAUCCAGGGCUCCACCGAAGGCCAUUGAAGACUCGACACCAAAGCCAACCGCGGCGUACAGACCGCCCGGCGCUAGGAAUAAGCCGUCUACGUUCACGUUACACGAACAUGAGAAGCCACACAAGCCUGGUGAAAAUGCUAGCGCUGCUCCGUCCAAGCAAGCUAUCAAGCAAAAAGAAAAGCGCGAAGCCCGUAAAGCGCGAAAAGCCGAAGAACGCGCGAAGGGAGAUGCGUCCCCUCCGCCGCCGGCGACCACGCCCCGCGCGCCUUUCGUCUCCACUGGGGACCCGGAAAAAGACAAGAAGAUCAAGAACCUUAAUAAGGUAAGUUGUAGUUUUGGAUAGUAAAUGAGGUAGUAUAAGAGUAACAAAAAGGAGGAAAGGUCGAAAAACGCGCGAAGGGAGAUGCGUCCCCUACGCCGCCGGCGACCACGCCUCGCGCGCCUUUCGUCUCCACUGGGGACCCGGAAAAAGACAAGAAGAUCAAGAACCUUAAUAAGAAACUGAGCGACAUCGACAAGCUGAAGCAACAAAAAGCCGCUGGAAAAACGCUCGAACUGAAUCAGCUCGAGAAAAUCAAGAACGAGCCAGCUUUACUCCAGGAGUUGGCGCAACUGCGGUUAUGAUCUCAACAAACAAACGAAACUGACCUGUAAUAUAACAGUAAGACGGUAUAUAUCCCCUUGGACAUUGCAUUUUUUUUUUAGUUUAGUUAGAAAAGUCGCUAUGCGUUCUCUUUUUUUAUAAACCUGUCGCAUUUUUUGUGAGCGCGUGAAAUAAGACUUCUGUACAACUAGUUAGUCUCUGAAACUAUUUAAAAAUGUGUAUAUGACAAAUAAUAUGUGUACAAAUUGAAUCAUAUCAGCUACGGUGGCUGUUCAUUAAGAGAUGAUUAGCAAAGAGAUUAAUUAAAAAGCGGUAGAUUCGUUAAAAUCGGCCUUGGCUAAACAAUAUUGUAUUUGUGCUAGCUGGUAUCAUGAUCAUUAAAUAUUUAUACAUUUUAUAUGAAUUCGAAAAUUUUAAAUCUAAAUGUGAAAUGUGUAGCGAGUGUACAUUUUUGUUCGUAUACUAGAAUUUGUAUUUGAUUUAUAAUAGUAUAUAAUAUUAUAUUUCUAAACCCAGAGCAAUACUUUGUUGAUUUCCAAAACGCUUGCUUAAAAGGGGCCUUGGUAUCUUUAGAAAUUAUACUAAGUAAAUCCAAACAUAGUUAUUAAGAAAAUCAAAUAUAUCCUCAUUUAUUCAAUCUACAUACUAUUUAUAUAAUAAAACGUGACAAUAUUUACCCAAAAAUAAACAGUUCCCAUAUAGGUACAUAGUUUCUUGAGAUUCUUACGAAAAUGCAAAGUGCAUUUCUAUAUUUUAUAUUUCUUAAUUUUCCAUUUCUUUUUCUAUACUGUUAUUUUAAUAAUAAUAUAAUUAUUUAAGCAUCUAGUGUGAACAUAAAAAUAGCUCAAUUUGUUUUCGUUUUACUCUUUUCUAAGCGACUGCCUAACAUGUGUGCGGAAAAUAAAUAUGGAAAUUAUUUG